CGGGGAGGAGGUCAGCCCUGCCCGAUGGCAAAGCACCUGCGGGGCUCACCCUGACCCAGUGCCUCCCACCUUGCCUCAACCCUCAUCACACUCUAGGAGGGGCGUGCAGACUGUGCCCAGCCCACAGAUAAACUGAGGCUCGGGGAGAUGGCGCAUGAGCUGGGGCUCAGGUUUGGGCCUGCUCUGGGAGUCACUCACCCAGCUUCCCGAAGAGCUCUACCCCAAGGGCAGCAUAGAUGAAGAAGAGCAGCAUGAAGAGGAGGCCCAGGUUGCCCACCUGCGGGAAGACAGGACCUGGAGGGCAGGCUGGUUCCAGCACAGGACUCAGAAUAACAAGAAAACACUUGUGCCGCCUUUACCACAAGCCGCCCCGUUUCCAGCACUUGAGGUUAAUGAGCUCACUUCCUCCUCACAAUAAUCCAUGAACUAUCUUUUAUCCCCAUUCUUCAGAUGAAGAAGGAGACAGACUGAGAGGCGACAUCACUUGUCCAGAAGCACACAGCUAGUAACUGGUAGGACAGGGGUCCAGACCCAGCAGGCUGGCCCCAGGAUCUGUGCAGACAACCUGUGCUACACACCUUGUGUGGCUACCAAGGUUGAAUGGAUGGAUGAAUGAAGGGAAGGGAGAGGGCAGGAAGUCUCAACACUAACAUUAGCUCCUCUACGAAACCACCGAAACGCACUUGUCCCUGUCACUAUCAUCUGCUGGUCUGGGAAAUCUUCAAGAACAGGAACACUGCUGCAUGAGGUCAGAUUUGCCUCCUCGGGCCAGCACGAGGCCUGGCCAUAGAGAGGAGGGAAGGCAGGAAUCACGCAGGCCCGUGGACCCCAGAAGGCUCUGCAAACCCAGCCACCCCCGUCCCACAGCUCCUGUGGGAGAAAGCGUCCCAGAUUCCAGACCUAGGUCAAAUCUAUCCAUGCACUGGAGACCACCUUUAACUCCUGCUAUGGAUAAGAUAAGGUUCAACCACAUUCUUGCCCUAGAAAUGAAAUCUCUCUUAGAACCCUCAGAAGGCCUGCGUGAAGAGAAUCAGAAGACGUUCACAUUAACUGCUGAAAAGUAAACCCCGUUAAUCACCACUCCUCAAGUUUCUCCUCUCCACUCCAAAGAAGGGUUUCCUGGCCAGCCGUUCUGCACUGCUAGUGGCUAAUUAAAUGAUGUUCCCUUCAUUAAUAAAACAAGCACUUACUGAGCGCCUGUGAGGCAAACUGUAAAGCCCUAACCGCUGAGAAGGAUCUGGCGUGGUCGAGGCCCUAGGAAAUCAGCUUUGUGCUCUGCGCAGGCCGGGGCUGGCAGCGUCUCUUAACCAGGAUUGCCUUCAGCUUUUCUCUGUCCCCUCCCCACUGUCAGCAUCUCAGAGCCGGUAGGAUUGCGGCAGCCUCCUCACCAGCUUCCCUGCCUCCAGCGUCUUCCUCCAAUCCACUCUCCUCCCAGCCGCCAGAGCCACCUUCUCAAAAGCAGCUCUGGCUGCAACCUCCCUUGUCUAGAACCCUCCUGUGGCACCCACUGCCUGCAAGAUAAAGCCCGAUUUUGCUUCCCUGGCAUUGAAGGUGUGUUGUGACCUGGCCCCCAGGGACCCCCUCCCAGCCUGAUCUUCCAACCCCACACACUCCAGCCACACAGAAAACAGCCCCACAGUGCCCUGGCAUAUUAUUUUCCCUCUGCAGGGAGGACCCUCUGUCUUUGCUUGGAAAAUGCCUCCUCCCCACCCCUCAAAGCCCAGUCCAUGGGUUACCUCCCCUGAGAAGCCUCCUCUGAUGCCUCCUCCCUCUUCUUGGGGCAGAGCCUGGUGGGGAGAGGCUGAAGUUUCAUUUUCCGAGCACUUUACACAGAAUCGAGGAAAUGGACAAUGUCCAUGCAACAGCAUGAGCAACAGCAAAUGGAUUUUGAGGGGUCAGCACCAUUUCAUGGCCAGCAGCACUCGGCACAUGCUGCUUCUAAAGUGCUGAUGCACUUGUAAUGACUACCAUGGGUCUCCUGCUGGAGGCUGGGAGGUCCUGAACAUCUCCAUGUGCCGAGCCCCAUGCCAGCUCCGCACUGGAUUUGGGAGUCAUGAUAGGACUGCCCAGGGCUCAGAGCAUGGGGAAGGGGAGUGGGAGCAAGGAGGCCAGGGAGGCCAAGCCACACACCUGCCAUCCCCAUCCCUAGCAGCCUCUUACAAGGCACUUCCCAUGAACCAGGCUUCUGAAGUGCUUCAUAAGCUUUAACCACCUGAAACUUCACCGCUGCCCUUUGAAAUAAGCACUUGAGGGAGCGAUGCUUCACCACCAUCCUCAUUUCACAGGCAAAGAAACUGAGGCACGAAAAGCUAAGUUGCAUGCCCAGGGCCCAGACUUUGCUCUCAGGCAUUAUGGCCCAAGUCGGGGUUCCAAUCUACUUCUUGUCUGCACAGCCUGCAGCCCAGCAUCACUCCCAUCUCCUAUGGGACAAAGUCCCCUGAAGGAAUUUAGUGUUAGGAAAAACCACGUCUCUGAAUGAAUGCCCUUGCUUUCCAUCCAGACCAUGCCACUUUCCCUUUAUACCGAGGCUGCUGGGAAGCUCACACCAAACUCAGGAACAGAACUCACCCAUGUCCUUAGCCCCACUCCCCGAAAGAAUUAGCUCUGCUUCCACCUUCCCUGGGCUGUUAAUCUUGUAUCCUCAUUCUUACUGUGCAGUAUCUGUGCCUUGUAUUUUAAGGUGUCUAAAGUUCCUGAUGACUCGAUGAAUCAUAAUGAAUAAAUAAAUGUGCCUGAGGGUCAUCACAGCAGAGGCCACCCUUAGGGGAGGGGGAAGAAGAGCCUCAAGCAGUCCAGACAGCAAGGGAGGGAAGGACUGGGAUUGCAGAAUUCCCAGGAGGAUGAAAAAGAUGCCCUCUGUGGCCCUGAUCACAUCUCCCUUUUCACUAACCACGGGGUGGGGGUAAAGUAACUUCCCUAACUUCUGAGAUCCCCACCUGGGUCAGUGUCUCAUGCUGCCCCUCCUGGAAUGCCAUCUCGGAACUUCCCCAUCCACACUGCCACCUUCUUCUGCCAAGCCACCCUUGGAAGUCAAGCUCAAAGGUCCCCUUUUCUAGGCUGCCUUCCCUGAUCUCCCCAGGGAGUGUCUGGCAGUCUUCUCUCCCUGGAGCAUGCUGGAGGUCCCUCCCCACAUCUCCCUGAAGUAUCCAUCUCCCUCCACCAGCCUGGGGCAAUCAAGGGCACGAUGUGGACCCUGAGUGCAUGCACAGGGCUGGACACAGAGUGUCGCUGGCAACCACAUGGUGAAGCCGGAAAAAACAGGCAGAAAGGGACCCUUUCUGCCUGUCAGCCCUCGGCUCAAAAUGCAUCCCCACAGACAGCAUCUGCCCUGGCUCUGGCAGAUGUGAGAAGGAAUAUCAGGGCCUUCAUGCCCCAGGGCCCAGCCUGACACCAAUGACCCCUAGUAGGGCUGCCAGAAAG